rnacentral:rRNA from 1 species
CACGUAGGGCGCAAGCGUUGUCCGGAAUUAUUGGGCGUAAAGAGCUCGUAGGCGGUCUGUUGCGUCCGCUGUGAAAACUCGGGGCUUAACCCCGAGCCUGCAGUGGAUACGGGCAGACUAGAGGUAGGUAGGGGAGAAUGGAAUUCCCGGUGUAGCGGUGAAAUGCGCAGAUAUCGGGAGGAACACCAGUGGCGAAGGCGGCUCACUGGUCCGAUACUGACGCUGAGGUGCGAAAGCGUGGGGAGCAAACAGG